rnacentral:lncRNA from 1 species
CGAGAUUUUGGCUCGCUCGCUCGCGCUCUCUCUCUCUCUCUUCCCAAACUGAAACCCUGACUCUAGAGGGAGAAUGGCUUCAAUUUCAUUAUCCUCACUGUCGGUACCAUUUUCGACCUUACCCAAUUCCUCCAUUAGUAAUUGCAGACCCGAGUUUUCUGUUCUCUCUUUGCCUUCCUCAAUUUCCUCAAAGUUACAUGCCCUGAAACCCUAUCGAGUUUCCCCUUCCAGAACUUUUGCUGUUCCUGAAGUUUUGGAAUCCAAUGCUGCUUCUGAGGUUUGUUUUGUUAUCGACUCAGUUAUAAUUAUGUUUGAUAAUUAUGCACUUUUCACAUGAUUGAAAUGAUUUUCUUUUUGGGUUUUCUGGGGUCUUAGGACGAGGCUCCUUCCUCUUCAGUGCCGAGUGUUGGUACAGAUUCUGAGAAAGUAACUUCUCUUUUCUUCUUAUUCACCUGCACGCUAUGUUCUUUGUAUUUGGUUAUUAAUAUUGCUUUUGCUAAAAUUAUAGUAGCAGGAUUAAUUAGUUGUUGAGUGACAUUGCGUAUCAAUUGCUGCUGUAAUUAUCUACUUUAUCCUAAUUACUAUGAGGUAGACCAGUAGAGAGAGAAUGGAGUUAUGAAAUGCAAUGGCUCCAAUUAAAACACUGUCACUUUUCAUUGAUGUCAAUGUAUUUGCCUUAACACGUUCAUAUCUAAUACUGAAUCAAUCAGUAUUCAGUGCGAAGAAUUGUCUGCUAUAGGAAUUUGGUUUCACAUGAGCUUUGUAUAUUACAUCCCAGGAGAACCUUCCGGGCCCCAUUUAGCAGGGCUUUUGAAAAGCCAAAAGCGAUUUUGAUACUAAGAAAUUGCUUUUGAACAUGGUUGAAUAGUUUUCUGAAAGUGUUUUGUGUGGUAGAGGGAAAACUGAUUCUACAAGAUGCAGAAGCAAAAAUAUCUUCAUGAUAUUUUAAAGUCUCGUAGGGAUUAUCAUCGUAUUUCCCUCUACUAUUAAAAGAGCGAAUGCUGCAAUCACUAUUCAUUUGUGAAGUAUUUUCUUUUCCUAUUUUGCCCUUGAAUGGACUGUUGAUUAAUGAGGCCAUGCAUGGAAAAAAAGGGCAAUAUGAAUAUUUCAUUCAUCUCUUUCACUUUGGGUUGGGUUGGGUUGUAAUGUACUGAAACCCUAGACUAUUCCCCGCCCCAAAAAAGGCCACAAAAAUUUUUCACUCAAAAUCCUCGUUCUGUGCUAUACAUUCACCUAAAACUCUUUGACUUCGAAGUUCUGCUAUGCGUAUCGCUCGCUGUUGGAUAGCUUGUAAAUUUUUGGGCUGGCAAAGAAGUGUAAUCUUGAAGAAGCCCAGAUGCUCGUGCAAAAACUACAUCAGUACCAAUUAGAAGGCUCGAAUUCCGUAUUUUUUUAGAGUUUGAUUUUGGCUAUGAUUAAUUGGUUAUCCGCGCUUCUGAGAUUUAUGAUACUUGAAGUAUGAGGUUGAAUAAUGGUUGAAUUUCUUGAUAUGAACUGAAACGUAAUUUAUGUUAUAUUUUUGUUUUAAAUUUUUAGAAUUUGAAUUUCCUCUUGAAUUUGUGUGGGCAGGGAUGACCAUUUUACAGCUUUUUAAUGCCGGUUCUGCUUCAGAAAAUUCUUGAUUGACAAAGCUGCUUAUUUCUGAGCCAUCCAUUUGUUUUCCACCACCCAUUUCCUUAAUGCCCCUGUUGUUUCCUUUCUCACACAAAAUUGCCUCCUCAACCUUUGGUGAAAAUCUAAAACAAAUAGAGGACAUCUCUACAGGAAAUUGUAGAGUCUCGACUCCAAGUAUAUUCUUCUCAUACAAGUUUUUUUUUUUUUUUUUUUUUUUUUUUUUUUUUUUUUUUUUUUUUUUUUGGUAUUUUAUUUAAUUUUUUUCGAACUCUAUUCUUCUAUGUUUGUUUCAAUUUUUGUGAAAGUUUCCCAAAAAUUCAGAAAACUUCAUGUUUAGUGCAGUUUAGGGUUAUAAGUGAUGGAAUUGAUGUCUCUAUGUUUAAGUUAGGUUAGAGUCCAUUGUUUCUUUUUUGGGGAUUAUAGUUAAUAUUUGUAGUUGUACAUCCAGAAUUUUUUGGUUCAUUGUUGUUUGGUUGAAAGUUUAUAGUGUUGGGCUUAUUUAUAUAUCUGCAUACGUCGUGUUUUAAUUUUUUUUUUUCCCCACUAUGAGUUCUCCUGUGCAUCAAGAAUUACAAACCUUAAAUCAAGAUUUUAUUGUUUACUGUUUACAAUUUUUUUGAUUCCGCGUUGUUUUGCUUAUUUUAUUUCUUCUAUUUAUAUGGAAAAAGAAGGAAAAAAUGUUCAAGGAUUUUGAUUAGUUUAUAAAUAUCUGAUUUCUUGUUUUUCGCUUCUAUGACCAUUGAUUAUUCUAUUAUUAUUUACUUUAAUGGGUGUAAGACUCAUUACAGAUUUUUUAGCAUAUUUUUUAAUUUUUUUACUAAAUUUAUGUGCAAAUAAAAUGAGAAAUUAUUUAAAUGGAAGUCUCCUAAUUUUCAUGCAAUGCCAUUUUGUUAGUGUGCAUUAGUCCUAUGCAAUUAUUCAAGUGAGUAAAUUAUUGAUGGAAGUGUGUACCUUUAACGUGCUUGAACUUCCAGUAUAUGCUGUUUAGUUUUUAUUCACUUUUUCAUUCUUCAUGGAUAAUUUAUUUAUUUAUUAUUAUUAUUUUUAUUAUUAUUAUUAUUAUUAAUUUUUUUUCCCAUUUUGCUAGACAUCUAGCCAUACUUAUGCUGAGGUGCAAAAUGUAUUCCAACUAUAGUUUUUCUUGUGAAAAGAAAUUUAAUAACACCACUUCUCCUAGGAUGUCUUAAAUAUAUAAUAUGUAGAAAUAGAAUUGUAUCUUGAUGUGAAACUUUCGAAUUAUAUUGUAAUUUAGGCAACAUUCUUUCUUUUAUACAGAUGUUUGCAUUGAAAUUUUGUGAUAGAGUUUCUUGUCAAUCCUUGACAUUUUUAAGACGUUAACAUUACCUUCAAAAUAACACAUCACGUGCAUUGCACGGCAAAAAACUAGUAUCUUUAAAAUUUGAAAUAAGGUUGGUGUACUGUCUAUUACAGAUUGAACACGUGCUUAAUGCAUUAUAUUAUUGAUCUACAAAUUGUGUAUAUUAUUUUAAUACUUUCACACACAUGUAUAUUUAAAUUAUUAGGAUGAAAUGGAAUUAGACAAGGGUGUGAGGAAGACAGAGGAGUCAUUGAAUGAUAUAGAGUGCUUGACGGCAUGUCUCGUAUAAUGUCCACAAAUUUGUGAACUAGGAUCAACUUACUAUGCGAACCAACAAUGCAUUUCUCUACCAGGGCAUGAUCGUAUACCAAUGGAGGUCGAAGAUAGGUCUCAUAAGGUCUAAAAAUAAUUGGGGUUAAAGGCUAUCAAUCUCCACACAGAUCAAUCCAAUGGAAGGAAGAUAAGGCAUACAAAUAAUUGGGUUAAAGGUGCCCCUCAUGGGGUGGUUGAGUUGAUAGAGUAGGUGAGCGCGGAAACCUUUGGUCACGAGUUCGAUUUUCCCCGCCAACACUUUCUCGAUCUAGCUUGUCGAAUCGAACUUGCCUAGUGUGGUGUACCUGGCUGUCACGAUUUACCAAUGGAGGUCGAAGAUAGGUCUCAUAAGGCCUAAAAAUAAUUAGGGUUAAAGGCUAUCAAUCUCCACAAAAAUCAAUCCAAUGGAGGUAGAAGAUAUGGCAUACAAAUAAUUGGGUUAAAGGCUAUCAAUUUCCACACAAAUCAAUUAUUAAGCCGUUUGAUUAUCUUUUCAUUGUAUUCACUUCAUUAUUAGCGCAUGUUGGCACUCAGUUUAUAUCCAUUCAUGGUUGGUCCCAUAAGUUUUAAUGUUUUGAUGUUCCUUUCAUUUUGUUCCAUGCAUACUGAUAUUCCUAUGAAUUUGGCAUGUCCAAAUAAUUGAGUGCUAUAUUUUUACAUUUUCUUGUUGGAUAUUGAAGAAUUUGCGCACUUUUGUUCGGGAAAUAUCUGUAUUUAGAUUGAAUUUUGGUCCAUCUGAUACUUAGAUCAAAGUUUUAGCUGAUGAGAUUCCAUAAUAUAGUCCUAUUGUAAAUUGCUGUAAAAAUCUUACGCAUUAAGCCCUUGUUUCGUAAAAUUUAAAACUCGUCAAAGUCAACAAUUAAUUUUAUCUACACAUUUUAUAGGACACACAACUUUUCAACAACACAUUUCAUUAACUUUUAUAAUAAUCUGCUAAAAAUUUGAUUUUAAUACCUAUCAAAUAGGGGAUAAAUAUUUAUUGUGGUAAAAUUACCAAAAUAUCUCCCCAUAGCUACAAAAAUCACAUUUCUUCAAUUUCAUUUGCCAAGUUUUGAUUAUAAAUAUGGCAUCGAAACUAUUCUUCAAGAAAACCAAUCUCAAGAAUUUUAUGCAAAUUCCUCUUGCUCUCUAGAAAUAAGAAUGACUACUUUACUUUGUCUUACUUUUCUCCUCUUUCCCUUGAGUCUGUCAAGGUAAAUAAUGUUAGCUAAAGCUGCUGAGAUUGACUUCAUCAUUUACUUGAUAUUCAAACACAAUACAAGAUUUUACACCUUGAUUAUCACACUGAAAUCCAACGUCUACAAAUAGCAAAGAAAUAAUCACACAUGGAUCACAUCUGCCCAUCAAUUUAUUUUAUAAUGAGAUGAUAACAGUAGGUCGAGUACACACAAUUUAAUCAUCGUCAAUCCAUGCAAGAUCAACGUUUGACAUCCAGUGACAUGCCUCACCUUUUCCAGGGGAGAAUUUCAAUAUCUUAGAAGCUACAUGAUUCUCAAGCCAUGUCGAGAUAUCCAUGUGACAAAUUGAGAUCACGAUUUUAACUGGGAGUCGAGUUUUGGCUUCAACCAUGUCUACAGCAUAGAGUCGAGAUGAUAGGAUUGAGUGACAGAAAUAGGCUGCAAAUGGAGGAUAAACUUCAUGACAGACAAUUAUUUUCUGCCUAUCAAAUUUCUUGAUUUUUUUUUAUCAUAAAAUCCCCUGUUUUUGUGCUUUGUGAAGCCAGUGCAAGUGACUUCUUGUUGCCUAAGGCGAAUUUUGAAAAACUAAUCAUUUCUCCAAGGGAUUUUGUGCAAUUCUUGAUUCCUCCAUUUAUAACUUCUGCAUUACAAUAAAAAAGGGUAGUUUCAAUGGAAUUUUUCAAUAGUUUAAAGGACUUGAGAAAUAUUUUUCUGAUGUUUUUUCUGUUGAUAGAAAUUUUUGAAGCUAUUUCUUGAGGGAGAAAUGCGCAAUUCGAAUAUUAAUUUCUGAAUCUAGGGCCUGAAGAAAGAAAAAUUGUCUAUCUUAGUGGGUUGAAUAGUUGAUGCAUACUUAUUGUAUACUUUGACCAGUUUGUAUACUUUGGUCAGUUCCAGGAAUUUUUCAUAUUCAAAUGAGCAAGUGAGUUUUGCUAUUGAGCAAAAACUGGAAUUUUCUGAGAAUUCAUUUUUGGACAUCAUUUUAAUGUAAUAAUUCCGAUCCUUUUUUGUUAAUGGGGAUAGCUUUUUGAAAACAGAUUUAAACAUUUGGUUUUACACAUUUUCUGACCAGAACUUGAUAUGGUCGAAAGCGAUGGAUGAUAUACGGACUUGAGUUGACACAAAAGAAGUGAAGUAAAGACAAAAGAUCAAGAGAAAGAGGAGAAAAGUAGCCUUUUUUUUAUGACGAGGGAACUAGCGGAAUUGAGUGUAAUGCUAGAAACCCAAGAAAGUGUUUCCAAUCUAUGUAAUUGUUUAAUCUGAAAAGCAUGGCGUUAAAAUGAGUAAAGGCUAAUGGAAAACUUUGAGGAAGUGGUAGACGGAGGAUUUUGAGUCUACAAAUCUCAUUGGAUCUCUAUCAAAUGCGAGGAAUUCAUAUAUUUCUUCUAUUGUCGGAAAAGUUUUGUGAACUUUUCAAGAGUAUUUGCAUUUAGGCCAUCUCCAUUGCUAAGGGCAUCCUUGAUUUCUUUGUGCAAAACGCCAAGUGAUUUGAGUACAAUUGCUGUGGUUUGGGACUUUAUGGUGUCGAGAAUGAAAAUCUGGGAAGCUGGACCGAAUCUAUCCCUUAUCCUGGUUGUUGAAUUAAUGUCUUGUCAAGGAGAUUUUCGAUUGAUGGCAACAUAUCCAAAGAGAGCUUCAACAAGAUGGCCAUUGUUGACCUCGCAAAUUGGACUUCCACGUGGUCAACCAAGAGCCACUCCACGUGUUCCUCCCUGCACACAACAACAUAUGGUCAGGAGCACACUGUCGGAACCAACGAGGGUGGUGGCAAUCAAAUACACUCCGACGGUCAAGUCAGUGGUCGAUGAUCGGAACGAUACCGAAAUCGUGCAAGAGAGUGAGGAGAAUAUGAUGCUUGAAGCUUGUGAACUAAGAUCAACUUACUAUGCGGACCAACAAUGCAUUUCUCUACCAGGGCAUGAUCGCAUACCAAUGGAGGUCGAAGAUUGGUCUCAUAAGGCCUAAAAAUAAUUGGGGUUAAAGGCUAUCUAUCUCCACACAAAUCAAUCCAAUGGAGGUAGAAGAUAAGGCAUACAAAUAAUUGGAAUAAAGGCGUCCCUCAUGGGAUGAUCGAGUUGGUGGAGUAGGUGAGCGCGGAGGCCGUUGGUCACAAGUUCGAUUCUCCCCACCAACACUUUUUUGAGUCGCACCAGACUUGUCUAGUGCAGUUUACCUGUCUGGCACGAUUUACCAAUGGAGGUUGAAGAUAGGUCUCAUAAAGCCUAAAAAUAAUUAGGGUUAAAGGCUAUCAAUCUCCACACAAAUCAAUCCAAUGGAGGUAGAAGAUAGGGCAUACAAAUAAUUGGGUUAAAGGCUAUCAAAUUUCACACAAAUCAAUUAUUAAGCCGUUUGCUUAUCCUUUUAUUGUAUUCACUUCAUUAUUAGUGCAUGUUGGCACCCAUAAAUUUUAAUGUUUUGAUGUUCCUUUCAUUUUGUCCCAUGCAUAUUGAUAUUCCUAUGAAUUUGGCAUGUCCAAAUAAUUCAGUGCUACAUUUUUACAUUUUUUUUUUUUUUGGAUAUUGAAGAAUUUGCGCACUCUUGUUCGAGAAAUCUUUGUAUUUAGAUUGAAUUUUGGUCCAUCUGAUAAUUAGAUCAAGGUUUUAGAUGAUGAGGUUCCAUAAUACAGUCCUACUGUAAAUUGCUAUAAAAAUCUUAUUCAUUAAACCCUUGUUUCGUAAAAUUUAAAACUCGUCAAAGCCAACAAUUAAUUUUAUCCACACAUUUUAUGGGACCCACCAUUUUUCAACCACACAUUUCAUUAACUCUUAUCAAAUUCUGCUAAAAAAUUGAUUUUAAUGCCCACCAAAUAGGGGCUAAAUAUUUAUUGUGGUAAAAUUACCAAAAUAUCCCCCAUAGCCACAAAAAUCACAUUUCUUCAAUUUCACUUGCCAAGUUUUGAUUUUAAAUAUGGCCUUGAAACUAUCCUUCAUGUAAAUAUCUUGAGGAUUUUAUCUGAAUUCCUCUUGCUCUCUAAAAAUAAGAAUGGCUACUUUUUUUUUGCCCUUCAUGGAGUGGUCGAGUUGGUGGAGUAAGUGAGCGCGGAAACCUUUGAUCAUGAGUUCGAUUUUCUCUACCAACACUUUCUCGGUCGAGCCUGUCACACAGGACUUGCCUAGUGCGAUUUACUUGGCUAGCGUUAGCUAUUGCGUCAGUUCAAGGGUUUAUUCAGUGCACACCCGAAAGGUAGCGGUUGCGGGUUCCUCCGUCAUAAAAAUAAAAUAAUAAUAAAAAUAAAAAAUGGCUACUUUACGUUGUCUUACUUUUCUCCUCUUUCACUUGAUCUUUUAUCUUUACUUCACUUCUUUUGCGUCGACUCAAGUCCCUACAUCAUCCAUCACUUCCGAUCAGAUCAAGUUCUGGUCAGAAAAUGUGCAAAACCAAAUGUUAGAAUCUGUUUUCAAAAAGCUAUCCCCAUUAACAAAAAAUGAUUGGGAUUAUUACACUAAAAUGAUGACCAAAAAUGAAUUCUCAGAAAAUCCCAAUUUUUGCUCAAUAGCAAAACUGUCUUGCUCAUCUGAAUAUGAAAAUUUCCUAGAACUGGCCAAAGUAUACAAAAUGGUCAAAGCAUACAAUAAGUAUGCAUCAACUAUUCAACCCACUAGCGUAGACAAUUUUUCUUUCUUCAGGCUCUAAAUCCUUAGAGAAUGAAAUAUAUUCCAUAUCCUAGAUUCAGAAAUUAAUAUUCCGAAUCGAGCAUUUCUCCCUCAAGAAAUAGCUUCAAAAAUUUCUAUCAGCAGAAGAAACAUCAGAAAAAUAUUUCCCAAAUCCUUUAAACUACCGAAAAAUUCCGUUGAAACUACCUUUUUUUAUUGUAAUGCAAAAGUUAUAAAUGGAGGAAUCAAGAAUUACACAAAAUACCUUGAAGAAAUGAUUAGUUUUUCAAAAUUCACCUUAGACAACAAGAAGUUACUUGCACUAGCUUCACAAAGCACAAAAACUGGGGAUUUUAUGAUAAAAAAGAUCAAGAAAUUUGAUAGGCAGAAAACAAUUGUUUGUCAUGAAGUUUAUCUUUCAUUUGCAGCCUAUUUCUACCACUCAAUCCCAUCAUCUCGACUCUAUGCUGUAGACUUGGUUGAAGCCAAAACUCGACUUCCAAUUAAAACCGUGAUCUCAAUUUGUCACAUGGAUACCUCGGCAUGGACUGAGAAUCAUGUAACUUCUAAGAUACUGAAAUUCUCCCCUGGAGAAGGCGAGGCAUGCCACUGGAUGUCGAACGUUGAUCUUGCAUGGAUGGCGAUGAUUAGAUUGUGUGUACUCGACCUACUGCUAUCAUCUCAUUAUAAAAUAAAUUGAUGGGCGGAGAUGAUCCAUGUGUGAUUAUUUCUUUGCUAUUUGUAUAUGUUGAAUUUCAGUGUGAUAAUCAAGGUGUAAAAUCUUGUAUUGUGUUUGAAUAUCAAGUAAAUGAUGAAGUCAAUCUCAGUAGCUUUGGCUAACAUUAUUUAUCUUGACAGACUCAAGGGAAAGAGGAGAAAAGUAAGAAAAUGUAAAGUAGUCAUUCUUAUUUCUAGAGAGCAAGAGGAAUUUGCAUAAAAUCCUCAAGAUAGGUUUCCCUGAAGAAUAGUUUCGAGGCCAUAUUUAUAAUCAAAACUUGGCAAGUGAAAUUGAAGAAAUGUGAUUUUUGUAGCUAUGGGGGGGAUAUUUUGGUAAUUUACCACAAUAAAUAUUUAGCCCCUAUUUGGUGGGCAUUAAAAUCAAUUUUUAGCAGAUUUUAAUAAAAGUUAAUAAAAUGUGUUGUUGAAAAGUUGUGGAUCCCAUAAAAUGUGGGGAUAAUGUUAAUUGUUGACUUUGACGAGUUUUAAAUUUACGAAAUAGGGGCUUAAUGCGUAAAAUUUUUACAGCAAUUUACAGUAGGACUGUAUUAUGAGACCUCAUCAUCUAAAACCUUGAUUUAAUUAUCCGAUGGACCAAAAUUCAAGCUAAAUACAGAGAUUUCUUGAACAAAGAUGCGCAAAUUCUUCAAUAUCCAACAAGAAAAUGUAGCACUUAAUUAUUUGGACAUGCCAAAUUCAUAGGAAUAUCAGUAUGCAUGGGACAAAAUGAAAGGAACAUUAAAACUUAUGGGACCAACCAUAAAUGGAUAUAAACUGAGUGCCAACAUGCGCUAAUAAUGAAGUGAAUACAAUAAAAAGAUGAGCAAAUGGCUUAAUAAUUGAUUUGUGUGGAAAUUGAUAGCAUUUAACCCAAUUAUUUGUAUGCCCUAUCUUCUACCUCCAUUGGAUUGAUUUUUGUGGAGAUUGAUAGCCUUUAACCCUAAUUAUUUUUAGACCUUAUGAGACCUAUCUUCGACCUCCAUUGGUAAAUUGUGCUAGCCAGGUAAAUCGCACUAGGCAAGUUCGGUGCGACAGGUCGAUCGAGAAAGUGUUGGUAGGGAGAAUCGAACUUGUGACCAAAGGCCUCCGCGUUCACCUACUCUAACUCAACCACCCCACGAGGGGCGCCUUUAACCUAAUUAUUUGUAUGCUCUUCACUCCAUUGGAUUGAUUUGUGUGGAGAUUGAUAGCAUUUAAUUCCAAUUAUUUUUGGGCCUUGUGAGACCUAUCUUCGACCUCCAUUGGCAUGCGAUCAUGCCCUGGUAGAGAGAUGCAUUUUUGGUCCGCAUAGUAAGUUGAUCUUAGUUCACAAAUUUGUGGACAUUAUACAAGACAUGCCGUCAAGCACUCUAUAUCAUUUAGUGACUCCUCCGUCUCCCUCACACCCUUGUCUAAUUCCAUUUCAUCCUAAUAAUUUAAAUAUACAUAUGUGUGUGUGAAAGUAUUAAAAUAAUAUACACAAUUUGUAGAUCAAUAAUAUAAUGCAUUAAGCGCGUGUUCAAUCUAUAAUAGACAGUACACCAACCUUAUUUCAACUUUUAAAGAUAAAUACGUAUUGAAAUUUUGAGGUAAUAUGGUACUAUGUACAUUUUAUAAAUAUUAUUUAGAAAAAAUGCAAAAUAAUUNNNNNNNNNNNNNNNNNNNNNNNNNNNNNNNNNNNNNNNNNNNNNNNNNNNNNNNNNNNNNNNNNNUUGAAUUAUAACAUUGUAUAUUAUUAUUAUUAGGUGGCCACGGUUGUCACAUUACGUUACUAUAAUAUUUUGCAAAAUGGACCACAAGUCCUUUUCACACUAUUGAAUUCUAUUAAAGCAUCCAAUCAGAAUUUAAACACCUUUCCUUUACUUCAUAAGCGUGGUAAGUAUGGUAAAAUUGCGUGGGUUGCAGGUGUUGACGGGGAUGAGUGAGUAAUAGUUGGUUGGAGGAGGUGAUUUACUAAUAUUAUUUUUUUAAAUUUUUUCUAGUUGUUAAUAUGUAUUUGAUUGUUUUAAUUGAGACACUUUUUAAAAAGUUAUGUGAUUUGAAUUGCAAUUUUUCUUAUUUUUUGUGUGGAAAUUGAUAACCUUUAAUCCAAUUAUUUGUAUGCCUUACCUUCUACCUCCAUUGGAUUGAUUUGUGUAGAGAUUGAUAGCCUCUAACCCCAAUUUUUUUUUAGGCUUUAUGAGACCUAUUUUCGACCUCCAUUGGUAUGCGAUCAUGCCCUGAUAGAGAAAUGCGUUGUCGGUCCGCAUAGUAAGUUGAUCUUCUAAAUUUUAACGAACAAGUUGAUCAACAAACAAUCAGUCUCCAACUAUGAAAAUCGUUUAAAUUAUAAUUAAAUCAUUAUGAAAAUUAGCCUCACUUCAAAUUUGUAGGCCCAGCCUACGUGAUGAUUUAACAAAUAUUUUGGCCUUUUUUAUUUCAUUAGUUGACACGCACGUUGCAUUUAUAAAAUUGGAACAAUGAGUGACUUAGGCUAUUAUAUAGUAGAAAUGUGCUACAUGUAUAGAAAUUUUCCUCACAAAAAUCUUACAGACAAGACAUAGCAGGGCGUGGGUGGUUUAUUUUUUGCAAUAAAAUAUUCACAUGGGUCCCACCCCAUGUAAAAUUUCUGUGAGGCUUUUGUAAGGGAGAUUUUCGUAUCUUCAGUUUUUAUUGUAUAUAGUAAAUGUGUAUGGAUAUGGUGAUAGAAGAAUUAUGAAUGAUUCACACAUAUAUCUCACGCGGAAUAAUUAUGGCAUACCUUAAAUAAGAACCUCAAGUUGGAAAUAACAGAUGGAUGAUUUUUGUACUGAAAGGAGCACGCAUAUAGAAACGGCAACAGAGAAAAGGUUUUGGGAACAUGAGAUAAAUGCUUUUCUUCCGAUAAUUCUUUUUAUCAAUCAAGGUAGAAUUACGAGGUGCAAGUGGUUGGUCCCGUUUGAUUUAUUUCUUCAUGUUAAUAAAUAUUAUGUUAAUCAAAGUUAUGGUAUGAUAUGGUAUGACCAUCCAAUACCAAAGAUAUGAUAUGUAUUGAAUUCUUAUCGAUUUCUAAAUAUAUAAUAAUGGUAUGAUAUUUUUGACACAUGAUUUAAUAUUUUUAUUUGGGACUGUACCGUUAUUCGUUUUCUACUGAGUAUUUCCGUGUACUCACAAUUUCUCCUACCCCUCAU